rnacentral:rRNA from 1 species
AUUGAACGCUGGCGGCAGGCCUAACACAUGCAAGUCGAACGGUAACAGGAAACAGCUUGCUGUUUCGCUGACGAGUGGCGGACGGGUGAGUAAUGUCUGGGAAACUGCCUGAUGGAGGGGGAUAACUACUGGAAACGGUAGCUAAUACCGCAUAACGUCGCAAGACCAAAGAGGGGGACCCUCGGGCCUCUUGCCAUCGGAUGUGCCCAGAUGGGAUUAGCUUGUUGGUGGGGUAACGGCUCACCAAGGCGACGAUCCCUAGCUGGUCUGAGAGGAUGACCAGCCACACUGGAACUGAGACACGGUCCAGACUCCUACGGGAGGCAGCAGUGGGGAAUAUUGCACAAUGGGCGCAAGCCUGAUGCAGCCAUGCCGCGUGUAUGAAGAAGGCCUUCGGGUUGUAAAGUACUUUCAGCGGGGAGGAAGGGAGUAAAGUUAAUACCUUUGCUCAUUGACGUUACCCGCAGAGGAAGCACCGGCUAACUCCGUG